UACGUAGGGGGCAAGCGUUAUCCGGAUUUACUGGGUGUAAAGGGAGCGUAGACGGCGUGCCAAGUCUGGUGUGAAAGGCCGGGGCUCAACCCCGGGACUGCAUUGGAAACUGGCAUGCUGGAGUGCCGGAGGGGCAAGCGGAAUUCCUAGUGUAGCGGUGAAAUGCGUAGAUAUUAGGAGGAACAUCGGUGGCGAAAGCGCUUUACUGGACCAUUAUUGACGCUGAGGAACGAAAGCCAGGGGAGCAAAUGGG
rnacentral:rRNA from 1 species